GACGAACGCUGGCGGCGUGCCUAAGGCAUGCAAGUCGAACGGAGAUCCAUCUGUGCUUGCACAGUGAAGAUCUAGUGGCGAACGGGUGAGGAACACGUGAGAAACCUGCCCUCGAGAGGGGAAUAACAACGGGAAACCGUUGCGUAAAUGCCUCAUAAUUGUUAACGACUCCGCAUUGGUUUGUUAAUGAAAUGAAUUUCGCUCGAGGAUGGUCUCGCUUCUUANCAGCUUGAUGGUGGGGUAACGCCUACCAUGGCGACGACGAGUAGCU
rnacentral:rRNA from 1 species